AAAAUGAUCAGGACUGCAAUGAGAGAACUGCGAAAGAAAAAGCGAGAGGCUAGGCUGGGAUGCACACAGGAGGAAAUGGACCAGAGAGAGAAGGAGCGAGAUCAGCGUCUGCAGGAGCUCAGGCAUCAGCGG